UAGCAUAUCAAUAAGCGGAGGAAAAGAAACCAACCGGGAUUGCCUUAGUAACGGCGAGUGAAGCGGCAAAAGCUCAAAUUUGAAAUCUGGCGUCUUCGACGUCCGAGUUGUAAUUUGAAGAAGGCGACUUUGUAGCUGGUCCUUGUCUAUGUUCCUUGGAACAGGACGUCAUAGAGGGUGAGAAUCCCGUGUGGCGAGGAUCCCAGUUAUUUGUAAAGUGCUUUCGACGAGUCGAGUUGUUUGGGAAUGCAGCUCUAAGUGGGUGGUAAAUUCCAUCUAAAGCUAAAUAUUGGCGAGAGACCGAUAGCGAACAAGUACAGUGAUGGAAAGAUGAAAAGAACUUUGAAAAGAGAGUGAAAAAGUACGUGAAAUUGUUGAAAGGGAAGGGCAUUUGAUCAGACAUGGCGUUUGCUUCGGCUUUCGCUGGGCCAGCAUCAGUUUUAGCGGUUGGAUAAAUCCUCGGGAAUGUGGCUCUGCUUCGGUAGAGUGUUAUAGCCCGUGGGAAUACAGCCAGCUGGGACUGAGGAUUGCGACUUUUGUCAAGGAUGCUGGCGUAAUGGUUAAAUGCCGCCCGUCUUGAAACACGGACCAAGGAGUCUAACGUCUAUGCGAGUGUUUGGGUGUAAAACCCGUACGCGUAAUGAAAGUGAACGUAGGUGAGGGCCCGCAAGGGUGCAUCAUCGACCGAUCCUGAUGUCUUCGGAUGGAUUUGAGUAAGAGCAUAGCUGUUGGGACCCGAAAGAUGGUGAACUAUGCCUGAAUAGGGUGAAGCCAGAGGAAACUCUGGUGGAGGCUCGUAGCGGUUCUGACGUGCAAAUCGAUCGUCGAAUUUGGGUAUAGGGGCGAAAGACUAAUCGAACCAUCUAGUAGCUGGUUCCUGCCGAU
rnacentral:rRNA from 1 species